rnacentral:rRNA from 1 species
GCAGAUCAGCAUGCUGCGGUGAAUACGUUCCCGGGCCUUGUACACACCGCCCGUCACACCAUGAGAGUCGAUAACACCCGAAGCCUGUAGUCUAACCAUAAGGGGGACGCAGUCGAAGGUGGGAUUGAUAAUUAGGGUGAAGUCGUAACAAGGUAGC